rnacentral:rRNA from 1 species
AUACGGAAGGUCCGGGCGUUAUCCGGAUUUAUUGGGUUUAAAGGGAGCGCAGGCGGAGAUGCAAGCGUGACGUCAAAUUUCGGGGCUCAACCCCGUCUCGCGUCGCGAACUGCGUCCCUUGGUUGCGGGAAGGGGAGGCGGAACUCGUGGUGUAGCGGUGAGAUGCAUAGAUAUCACGAAGAACUCCGAUCGCGAAGGCAGCCUUCCGGCCCGUCAACGACGCUCAUGCUCGAAGGUGCGGGUAUCAAACAGGAUUAGAUACCCUGGUAGUCCGCACAGUAAACGAUGGACACCCGCGGUUUGGCCUGUAUGGCUGAGCCGCCAAGCGAAAGCGUUAAGUGUCCCACCUGGGGAGUACGCCGGCAACGGUGAAACUCAAAUGAAUUGACGGGG